rnacentral:rRNA from 1 species
AUUGAACGCUGGCGGCGUGCUUAACACAUGCAAGUCGUGCGGUAACAGGCGUAGCAAUACGUGCUGACGAGCGGCGAACGGGUGCGUAAUACAUGGGAAUCUGCCUUUUAGUGGGGAAUAACCCGGCGAAAGCCGGGCUAAUGCCGCAUAAGAUCUUCGGAUGAAAGCGGGGGAUCGUAAGACCUCGCGCUGAUAGAUGAGCCCAUGCCGGAUUAGCUAGUUGGUGAGGUAACGGCUCACCAAGGCGACGAUCCGUAGCUGGUCUGAGAGGACGGCCAGCCACACUGGGACUGAGACACGGCCCAGACUCCUACGGGAGGCAGCAGUGGGGAAUAUUGGACAAUGGGGAAACCCUGAUCCAGCGACGCCGCGUGUGUGAAGAA